AAUGAACGUUGGCGGCGUGGAUUAGGCAUGCAAGUCGAGCGAGAACCCUCCUUCGGGAGGGGGACAGCGGCAAACGGGGUAGGAGGACGUCGGUGACGUACCCUCAGGACCGGGAUAGUCAAGGGAAACUUUGGGUAAUACCGGAUAACAUCUGCGGAUCAAAUGGUGUGAUUCCGCCUGGGGAGCGGCUGACGCGGUAUUAGCUAGUUGGUAGGGUAACGGCCUACCGAGGCGAAGAUGCCUGGGGGGUGUGAGAGCAUGGCCCCCACCACUGGGACUGAGAUACUGCCCAGACACCUACGGGUGGCUGCAGUCGAGAAUCUUCGGCAAUGGGCGCAAGCCUGACCGAGCGACGCCGCGUGCGGGAUGAAGGCCUUCGGGUUGUAAACCGCUGUCAGGGGGGAUGAAAUGCCUGGGAGCUAUCUCCCAGGCUUGACAGAGCCCCAGAGGAAGCACGGGCUAAGUUCGUGCCAGCCGCCGCCGUAACAC
rnacentral:rRNA from 1 species